GUGCCAGCAGCCGCGGUAAUACGUAGGGUCCAAGCGUUAUCCGGAAUCACUGGGCGUAAAGCGUGUGUAGGCGGCGCGUUAAGUGCAACGCGAAAUCCUGUGGCUCAACCAUAUGGACUGUGUUGCAUACUGGCGUGCUUGAGGAUGGCAGAGGCAAGUGGAAUUGGUAGUGUAGCAGUGAAAUGCGUAGAUAUUACCAGGAACACCAAUGGCGAAGGCAGCUUGCUGGGCCAUAUCUGACGCUGAGACACGAAAGCGUGGGGAGCGAACAGGAUUAGAUACCCUGGUAGUCC
rnacentral:rRNA from 1 species